rnacentral:rRNA from 1 species
UUGGAGGGCAAGUCUGGUGCCAGCAGCCGCGGUAAUUCCAGCUCCAAUAGCGUAUAUUAAAGUUGUUGCAGUUAAAAAGCUCGUAGUUGAAUUUCGGGGUCAGCAAGUUGGUCGUGCCACUGGUAUGCACUGGCUUUGCUGAUUCCUCCUUCUUGUAGAACCGUAAUGCCAUUAAGUUGGUGUUGCGGGGAAACAGGACUGUUACUUUGAAAAAAUUAGAGUGUUUAAAGCAGGC